AGAUUAAAAGGAGCCCAAGCCCCAUCUCAUCCUAGCACACCCUACUCCACUGUCCUGGCAGUAGCAGUCCCUGCACUAGGUCAGACAAUCCCCUUUGGGGUACAGGAAACAAAGCAGGAGGAGUUUGAGGUCCCUACACUGCAGCAGAAGAAAAGGAAGGAGUGGGACCUGAAUUGACCAUAAAGGAUGUAGGGGCCACGUUGUUCCACUGUAAUGUCAAGGAGGGGGUGGCCAUUGUUUGUCCCAGCCUGGGGCUCCCCCUCUGGUUUCCUAUUUGUAGUUACUAGAAUGAAAAAAAAAAUGAUAGAUAAAUAAAUAAUCCACUGGCAGAGA
rnacentral:antisense_RNA from 1 species